UCAAACUUGGUCAUUUAGAGGAAGUAAAAGUCGUAACAAGGUUUCCGUAGGUGAACCUGCGGAAGGAUCAUUACAAAUCGAUGGGGAGAGAGGAUAAUGGCUGUAAAGCUGUUUUCCCUCUCCCACAUAUAUGUUCGGGGUCCAUGACCCUGUGACAUUUGCGCUUGUCUUGUUUGUCAGAGUAACACCAUGCUAAAACUUACACAACUUUUAACAAUGGAUCUCUUGGCUCUUGCAUCGAUGAAGAACGCAGC
rnacentral:misc_RNA from 1 species